rnacentral:rRNA from 1 species
UACGGAGGGUGCAAGCGUUUAUCCGGAUUCACUGGGUUUAAAGGGUGCGUAGGCGGACAGGUAAGUCAGUGGUGAAAUCUCCGAGCUUAACUCGGAAACUGCCUUUGAUACUCUCUGUCUUGAAUAUGGUGGAGGUAAGCGGAAUAUGUCAUGUAGCGGUGAAAUGCUUAGAGAUGACAUAGAACACCUAUUGCGAAGGCAGCUUACUACGCCUAUAUUGACGCUGAGGCACGAAAGCGUGGGGAUCAAACAGG